rnacentral:rRNA from 1 species
AACGUAGGAGACAAACGUUAUCCGGAGUUACUGGGCGUAAAGGGCGCGUAGGCGGCCAUCUAAGUCAGACGUGAAAUCCCCCGGCUUAACCUGGGAACUGCGUCUGAUACUGGGAGGCUCGAGUAUGGGAGAGGGAUGUAGAAUUCCAGGUGUAGCGGUGAAAUGCGUAGAUAUCUGGAGGAAUACCGGUGGCGAAGGCGGCAUCCUGGACCAUUACUGACGCUGAAUCGCGAAAGCUAGGGGAGCAAACGGG